rnacentral:rRNA from 1 species
AGAGUUUGAUCCUGGCUCAGAACAAACGCUGGCGGCGUGUCUUAAGCAUGCAAGUCGAGCGGCAAGGGCAGCAAUGCCCCUAGAGCGGCGGACUGGUGAGUAACGCGUGGGUGAUCUACCUUGGGCAUGGGGAUAGCCAUUAGAAAUAGUGGGUAAUACCGAAUACGUUCGUUACCGUGAGGGUAACGAGGAAAGGCGCUACGGCGCCGGCCUGGAGAUGAGCUUGCGUCUGAUUAGCUAGUUGGUGAGGUAAUGGCUCACCAAGGCGAUGAUCGGUAGCCGGCCUGAGAGGGUGUACGGCCACACUGGGACUGAGAUACGGCCCAGACUCCUACGGGAGGCAGCAGCUAAGAAUAUUCCGCAAUGGACGAAAGUCUGACGGAGCGACGCCGCGUGGAUGAUGAAGGCCGAAAGGUUGUAAAGUCCUUUUGCUGGGGAAGAAUAAGCGUGGGAAGGGAUGCCCCCCGUGAUGACCUUGAACCGGCGAAAUAAGCCCCGGCUUAACUACCUGCCCAGCCGGCCCCGGU